GCCCCCGUAGUUAAGUGGAUAUAACGAGGCUUUCCUAAAGCCUAGUCGUGAGUUCGAUUCUCGCCGGGGGUA
rnacentral:tRNA from 1 species